rnacentral:sRNA from 1 species
CGAAGGCAGCAGGGUUGAACCUGCUUUCUACCAAUUUUUUGUGGUGUACUCUAGUUAAGAGUUCUACCAUUGAGCUAUGCUUCC